UACGAAGGGUGCAAGCGUUACUCGGAAUUACUGGGCGUAAAGCGUGCGUAGGUGGUUUGUUAAGUCCGUUGUGAAAGCCCUGGGCUCAACCUGGGAAUGGCAGUGGAUACUGGCGAGCUAGAGUGCGGUAGAGGGUAGUGGAAUUCCCGGUGUAGCAGUGAAAUGCGUAGAGAUCGGGAGGAACACCAGUGGCGAAGGCGGGUCUCUGGACAGUUCCUGACGCUGAGGCACGAAGGCCAGGGAGCAAACGGG
rnacentral:rRNA from 1 species